rnacentral:rRNA from 1 species
GUCUGUGGCCAUACCACCCUGAACACAUCUGAUCUCAUUUGAGCUCAGAAGCUAAACAGGGUGAGGCCUGGUUAGCACUUGGAUGGGAGUUGAAAAUGGCUUCUGUUGGCCACAAAAA